AGGUUACUGCUAUCGAGGUUCGACUAAGCCAUGCGAGUCGAAUGUAGCAAUACAUGGCGUACUGCUCAGUAACACGUGGACAACCUGCCCUUAGGUCGGGUAUAAACCCGGGAAACUGGGUAUAAUCCCCGAUAGGUCUCGGCUGCUGGAAUGCAUCGAGAUUAAAAGCUCCGGCGCCUAAGGAUGGGUCUGCGGCCUAUCAGGUAGUAGUGGGUGUAGCGUACCUACUAGCCUACGACGGGUACGGGUUGUGAGAGCAAGAGCCCGGAGAUGGAUUCUGAGACACGAAUCCAGGCCCUACGGGGUGCAGCAGGCGCGAAAACUUUACAAUGCUGGCAACAGCGAUAAGGGAACCUCGAGUGCCAGGUUACAAAUCUGGCUGUCGAGAUGCCUAAAAAGCAUUUCAUAGCAAGGGCCGGGCAAGACCGGUGCCAGCCGCCGCGGUAACACCGGCGGCUCGAGUGGUAACCGUUAUUAUUGGGUCUAAAGGGUCUGUAGCCGGCCGGAUAAGUCUCUUGAGAAAUCUGGCAGCUUAACUGUCAGGCUUUCAGGAGAUACUGUCUGGCUCGAGGCCGGGAGAGGUGAGAGGUACUUCAGGGGUAGGGGUGAAAUCUUGUAAUCCUUGAGGGACCACCAGUGGCGAAGGCGUCUCACCAGAACGGACCUGACGGCAAGGGACGAAAGCUAGGGGCACGAACCGGAUUAGAUACCCGGGUAGUCCUAGCCGUAAACGAUACUCGCUAGGUGUCGGCCACGGUGCGACCGUUGUCGGUGCCGUAGGGAAGCCGUGAAGCGAGCCACCUGGGAAGUACGGCCGCAAGGCUGAAACUUAAAGGAAUUGGCGGGGG
rnacentral:rRNA from 1 species